rnacentral:rRNA from 1 species
UGGCGGCAGGCCUAACACAUGCAAGUCGAGCGGGGGAGCAAUCCCUAGCGGCGGACGGGUGAGUAACGCGUGGGAACGUGCCCUUUGGUACGGAAUAGCCCCUGGAAACGGGGAGUAAUACCGUAUGAGCUCUACGGAGGAAAGAUUUAUCGCCAAAGGAUCGGCCCGCGUUGGAUUAGGUAGUUGGUGGGGUAACGGCCUACCAAGCCGACGAUCCAUAGCUGGUUUGAGAGGAUGAUCAGCCACACUGGGACUGAGACACGGCCCAGACUCCUACGGGAGGCAGCAGUGGGGAAUCUUAGACAAUGGGCGCAAGCCUGAUCUAGCCAUGCCGCGUGAGCGAUGAAGGCCUUAGGGUUGUAAAGCUCUUUCGUGGGGGAAGAUAAUGACUGUACCCCAAGAAGAAGCCCCGGCUAACUCCGUGCCAGCAGCCGCGGUAAUACGGAGGGGGCUAGCGUUGUUCGGAAUUACUGGGCGUAAAGCGCACGUAGGCGGACUGGACAGUCAGAGGUGAAAUCCCAGGGCUCAACCUUGGAACUGCCUUUGAAACUCCCAGUCUUGAGGUCGAGAGAGGUGAGUGGAAUUCCGAGUGUAGAGGUGAAAUUCGUAGAUAUUCGGAGGA